GACGAACGCUGGCGGCGUGCCUAAUACAUGCAAGUCGAACGCUGAAGGAGGAGCUUGCUCUUCUGGAUGAGUUGCGAACGGGUGAGUAACGCGUAGGUAACCUGCCUGGUAGCGGGGGAUAACUCUUGGAAACGAUAGCUAAUACCGCAUAACAGUAGAUGUUGCAUGACAUUUGCUUAAAAGGUGCAAUUGCAUCACUACCAGAUGGACCUGCGUUGUAUUAGCUAGUUGGUGGGGUAACGGCUCACCAAGGCGACGAUACAUAGCCGACCUGAGAGGGGGAUCGGCCACACUGGGACUGAGACACGGCCCAGACUCCGACGGGAGGCAGCAGUAGGGAAUCUUCGGGAAUGGACGGAAGGCUGACCGAGCAACGCCGCGUGAGGGAAGAAGGGUUUCGGAUCGUAAAGCUCUGUUGUAAGAGAAGAACGAGUGUGAGAGUGGAAAGUUCACACUGUGACGGUAUCUUACCAGAAAGGGACGGCUAACUACGUG
rnacentral:rRNA from 1 species